rnacentral:rRNA from 1 species
GUGAAAAGCACUUCGAACAGAAGAGUGAAAUAGUCCCUGAACCCAUACGCCUACAAGCAGUCGGAGCCGCUUCGUGCGGUGACGGCGUGCCUUUUGCAUAAUGAGCCUACGAGUUACUCAUCACCAGCGAGGUUAAGUACUUCAGGUACGUAAGCCGAAGCGAAAGCGAGUCUGAAUAGGGCGUCAAGUUGGUGGUGGUAGACGCGAAACCUUAGUGAUCUACCCAUGGGCAGGGUGAAGGUUUGGUAACACAAACUGGAGGCCCGAACCGGUAAACGUUGAAAAGUUUUCGGAUGACCUGUGGGUAGGGGUGAAAGGCCAAUCAAACUGGGAAAUAGCUCGUACUCUCCGAAAUGCAUUUAGGUGCAGCCUCUGUUGUUUUGUUCUAGAGGUAGAGCUACUGAUUGGAUGCGAGGGCUUCACCGCCUAUCAAAUCCGGCCAAACUCCGAAUGCUAGAACAUGAAGACAGGGAGUGAGCCAGCGGGUGCUAAGGUCCGUUGACGAAAGAGGGAGAACUCAGACCAUCAGCUAAGGUCCCCAAUUAUAUGCUAAGUUGGAAUUAAAACGGGGUGGGACUGCUUAGACAGCUAGGAUGUUGGCUUGGAAGCAGCCAUUCAUUUAAAGAGUGCGUAACAGCUCACUAGUCGAGCGGUCCUGCAUGGAUAAUACGCGGGCAUAAGCAUAUAACCGAAGCUAUGGGAUUGUAGAUGAUACAAUCGGUAGGAGAGCAUUCCAUUCAGCGUAGAAGCAGUAUCGUGAGGUAUUGUGGAGCGGAUGGAAAAGCAAAUGUAGGCAUAAGUAACGAUAAUGCGGGUGAGAACCCCGCACGCCGAAAGAUCAAGGAUUCCCCGGCAAUGUCAAUCAUCCGGGGGUAAGUCGGAUCCUAAGGGUAAGCCGAGUGGCGAUCCCGAUGGCAAACAGGUUAAUAUUCCUGUACUGAUCAUAACUGCGAUGCAGCGACGCAGAGGUGACACUGCUGCGUACUGACGGAAUAGUACGUUGAAACCCGUAUUCUUUGAUACCGGUAGUGAAGCACGCCGGUAGAGAUGAAAGGUGAUAGUACCGCAAUGCUUCGGUUGCGCGGAUAACGCAGGUAAGCUGACUGCCAAGAAAACCUGCUAAGCUUCAGGUAAUGAUCAUCCGUACUGUAAACGGACACACGUGAUCAGGUAGAAAAUACUAAGGCGCUGAGAGAUUCAUGGUUAAGGAACUAGGCAAAAUGGUCCUGUAACUUCGGGAUAAAGGACGCUCUUGUGAAAGAGCCGCAGAUAAUAGGCCCAGGCGACUGUUUACCAAAAACACAUGGCUAUGCUAAUUCGCAAGAAGAUGUAUAUGGCCUGACACCUGCCCGGUGCCGGAAGGUUAAGAGGAGAGCUCAGAGGUAACUCGAAGGUUUGAAUUGAAGCCCCGGUAAACGGCGGCCGUAACUAUAACGGUCCUAAGGUAGCGAAAUUCCUUGUCGGGUAAGUUCCGACCUGCACGAAUGGUGUAACGAUCUGGGUACUGUCUCAACCAUGAGCUCGGUGAAAUUGUAGUUCCGGUGAAGAUGCCGGAUACCCGCAACGGGACGGAAAGACCCCGUGAACCUUUACUGCAGCUUUGCAUUGAUUUUGGGUAACAGAUGUGUAGGAUAGGUCGGAGGCUUUGAUGCUGCGUCGUCAGGCGUAGAGUAGCCGUCGUUGAAAUACGACCCUUUUGUUAUCUGAGGUCUAACCCGUUAGGGAGACAUUGCAUGGUGGGUAGUUUGACUGGGGUGGUCGCCUCCAAAAGCGUAACGGAGGCUUCUCAAGGUACCCUCAAGGCGUUUGGUAAUCGUCUGCAGAGUGCAAUGGCAUAAGGGUGCUUGACUGUGAGACCGACACGUCGAUCAGGUUGGAAACA